ensembl:lncRNA
UUUUUUUUUGCAUGCUUGUCACACUUAAAUGUGUCAGAUCAUGAAACAAAUUAAAAUAUUAGUCAAAGAUAACACAAGUAAACACAAAAUGCAGUUUUUAAAUGUGGGUUGUUAUUAUUAAGGUAAAACUAAAUCCAAACCUACAUGGCCCUGUGUGAAAAAGUGUUUGCCCCCCCUGUUAUAACAUAACUUAACUGUGGUUUAUCACACCUGAGUUCAAUUUCUCUAGCCACACCCCGCCCUGAUUAAUGCCACACCUGUCCUCAAUCAAGAGAUCACUGAAAUAGGACCUGCCCGACAAAGAGAAGUAGACCAAAAGAUUUUCAAAAGCUAGACAUCAUGUCGAGAGCCAAAGAAAUUCAGGAACAAAUGAGAAAAAGUAAUUGAGAUCUAUCAGUCUGGAAAAGGUUAUAAAGUCAUUUCUAAAGCUUUGGGACUCCAGCGAACCACAGUGAGAGCCGUUAUCCACAAAUGGUGAAAACAUGAAACAGUGGUGAACCUUCCAAGGAGUUACCCCAAGAGCACAGCGACGACUCAUCCAAGAGGUCACAAAAGACCCCACAACAACAUCCAAAGAGCUGCAGGCCUCACUUGCCUCAGUUAAGAUCAGUGUUCAUGACUCCACCAUAAGAAAGAAAUGGCCUGCAUGGCAGAGUUCCAAGAUGAAAAAAUUACAUUAAGGCUUGUCUCAUUUUUGCCAGAAAACAUCUUGAUGAUCCCCAAGACUUUUGGGAAAAUACUCUGUGGACUGACGAGACAAAAGUUGAACUUUUUGGAAGGUGUGAGUCCCAAUACAUAAAAGUAACAUCGCAUUUCAGAAAAAGAACAUCAUAGCAACAGUAAAAUAUGGUGCCGGCAGUGUUAUGGUCUGGGCCUGUUUUGCUGCUUCAGCACCUGGAAGACUUGCUGUGAUAAAUGGAACCAUGAAUUCUGCUGUCUUCCAAAAAUCCUGAGGGAGAAUGUUCGGCCAUGUUUUGGUGACCUCAAGCUGAAACGAACUUGGGUUCUGCAGCAGGACAAUAAUCCAAAAACACACCAGCAAGUCCACCUCUGGCGGGGAAAAAAUCAGGACUUUGGAGUGGCCUAGUCAAAGUCCUGACCUGAAUCCUAUUGAGAUGAUGUGGCGUGACCUUAAAAAGGCAGUUCAUGCUCGAAAACACUCCAGUGUGGCUGAAUUACAACAAUUCUGCAAAGAUGAGUGGGCCAAAAUUCCUCCACAGCGUUGUAAAAGACUCAAGUUAUCGCAAACGCUUGAUUGCAGUUGUUGCUGCCAAGGGUGGCCCAACCAGUUAUUAGGCUAUUACUUUUUCACACAGGGCCAUGUAGGUUUGGAUUCCCUUGUUUUCCCUUAAUAAUAACGACCUUCAUUUCAAAACUGCAUUUUGUGUUUACUUGUGUUAUCUUUGACUAAUAUUUAAAUUUGUUUGAUGAUCUGAAACAUUCAAGUGUGACAAACAUGCAAAAAAAUAAGGAAUCAGGAAGGGGGC